rnacentral:misc_RNA from 1 species
UGAGUUUACGCUCUAYAACCCUUUGUGAACAUACCUAUAACUGUUGCUUCGGCGGGUAGGGUCUCCGYGACCCUCCCGGCCUCCCGCCCCCGGGCGGGUCGGCGCCCGCCGGAGGAUAACCAAACUCUGAUUUAACGACGUUUCUUCUGAGUGGUACAAGCAAAUAAUCAAAACUUUUAACAACGGAUCUCUUGGUUCUGGCAUCGAUGAAGAACGCAGCGAAAUGCGAUAAGUAAUGUGAAUUGCAGAAUUCAGUGAAUCAUCGAAUCUUUGAACGCACAUUGCGCCCGCCAGCAUUCUGGCGGGCAUGCCUGUUCGAGCGUCAUUUCAACCCUCAAGCUCUGCUUGGUGUUGGGGCCCUACAGCUGAUGUAGGCCCUCAAAGGUAGUGGCGGACCCUCCCGGAGCCUCCUUUGCGUAGUAACUUUACGUCUCGCACUGGGAUCCGGAGGGACUCUUGCCGUAAAACCCCCAAUUUUCCAAAGGUUGACCUCGGAUCAGGUAGGAAUACCCGCUGAACUUAAGCAUAUCAAUAAGCGGAGGAAAAGAAACCAACAGGGAUUGCCUCAGUAACGGCGAGUGAAGCGGCAACAGCUCAAAUUUGAAAUCUGGCCCUAGGCCCGAGUUGUAAUUUGCAGAGGAUGCUUUUGGUGCGGUGCCUUCCAAGUUCCCUAGAACGGGACGCCAGAGAGGGUGAGAGCCCCGUACAGUUGGACACCAAGCCUUUGUAAAGCUCCUUCGACGAGUCGAGUAGUUUGGGAAUGCUGCUCAAAAUGGGAGGUAUAUUUCUUCUAAAGCUAAAUACCGGCCAGAGACCGAUAGCGCACAAGUAGAGUGAUCGAAAGAUGAAAAGCACUUUGAAAAGAGGGUUAAACAGCACGUGAAAUUGUUAAAAGGGAAGCGCUUGUGACCAGACUUGCGUCCGGUGAAUCACCCAGCUCUCGCGGCUGGGGCACUUCGCCGGCUCAGGCCAGCAUCAGCUCGCUGUCGGGGACAAAAGCUUCAGGAACGUAGCUCUCUUCGGGGAGUGUUAUAGCCUGUUGCAUAAUACCCUUCGGCGGGCUGA